GUUUUGUUUUGCACCAGCCAUUCGUAGGUAAUCCAGACACGAGAUGGCUGUCCUCUCUAAGGAAUAUGGUUUCGUGCUUCUAACUGGUGCUGCCAGCUUUAUCAUGGUGGCUCACCUAGCCAUCAAUGUUUCCAAGGCCCGCAAGAAGUACAAAGUGGAGUAUCCUACCAUGUACAGCACGGACCAUGAAAAUGGGCACCUAUUCAACUGCAUUCAGCGAGCCCACCAGAACACGUUGGAAGUGUAUCCUCCCUUCUUAUUUUUUCUUGCUGUUGGAGGUGUUUACCACCCGCAUAUAGCGUCUGGCUUGGGCUUGGCCUGAAUUGUUGGACGAGUUCUUUAUGCUUAUGGCUAUUACACGGGAGACCCCAGCAAGCGUAGUCAAGGAGCCCUGGGGUCCAUCGACCUCCUGGGUUUGAUGGGCACAACCGUGUGUUCUGCUUUCCAGCAUCUUGGUUGGGUUAAAAGUGGCUUGGGCAGUGGAUCCAAAUGCUGCCAUUAAAGAUUAUAGGGUUUUCAAAAUUCUCAUUCAAAUGACUUACCUUUAUUUCCAGUUAUAUAUUUUUCCUAAAUAUAAUAAGCUUACCUGGCGUCUGCCUCAUACC